GAAGCGUGUCUUCCUGGCAGCUCUGCGCAUGCGCGUCAGUCAGUGUUGGAGGGAACGACAGCAGGACGCCUGAUGGAGUCACCUUUAAAGCAGAUGUCAUCACCUGAAGUCAGCGAGCAGACUGUGGAUGAGAGUGACAGAUCUCAGCAGAUGUCAUCACCUGAAAUCAGUGAGCAGACUGUGGAUGAGAGUGACAGAUCUCAGCAGAAGUCAUCACCUGAAGUCAGCGAGCAGACUGUGGAUGAGAG